rnacentral:rRNA from 1 species
GACGAACGCUGGCGGCGUGCUUAACACAUGCAAGUCGAACGGAAAGGCCCUGCUUUUGUGGGGUGCUCUAGUUGCGAACUGGUGAGUAACACGUGAGUAACCUGCCCUUGACUUUGGGAUAACUUCAGGAAACUGGGGCUAAUACCGGAUAGGAGCUCCUGCUGCAUGGUGGGGGUUGGAAAGUUUCGGCGGUUGGGGAUGGACUCGCGGCUUAUCAGCUUGUUGGUGGGGUAGUGUCUUACCAAGGCUUUGAGGGGUAGCCGGCCUGAGAGGGUGACAGGCCAAAUUGCGAUUGGAAUACGACACAGCCUACAACGGGAGGCAGGGGUGGGGAAGAUUGUAUAAGGGGCGGAAGGCUGAUGUAGUCCAGCAGCGCGGGGGAUGACGGGAUGGGCGUUGUAAUCUGAUUCCGCCUGUCACGAAGCGUGAGUGACGGUACUGGGUAAAGAAGCACCGGCUAACUCCGUG